ACUACAGACCUGAUCAACCCCCAUGCAUUCUCUAUUACCCCAAUAUCACCACACACACACUCUGCAGUCACAUUUUAAUUCCCAAAACACAUGCUCUAGUCCCUAUAAACCUCUAUCCCAGGGGUGGACUGACCGAGGUAGUGAUGGGCCAGGCUGGCUGAACAGCCAUACACUCUCUAUGGCCGGGGAGAUCUGAGAUCUCCGCAACCAGAGAGGCACAAUUAUACAUUGUAGGUUGCCCCUGAAGUGUGUAGUAGAG